rnacentral:lncRNA from 1 species
GUCUCAUUAAAUAUAUUUUUUUAAAAAAUUAAAUCAAUUUCAUCAAUAAAUAGCUUUUUUUAAUUGAUGACAGGGUCAGAGUAACACUAUUUAAAUAAGGAUUUCUGGGAAUUUUUUCCCUAUUGAAACAUAAAAAAUGAAAUAAAUUAAGAAAACUGAAAACUAAAUGGGAAAACCUGAUAAAAAUUCUGAUUACACUCCAAAUUCUUCUGAAACAUAAAAGUGAAAGCCUGGUCAAGAAAAGACCAACAGAGUUACAGCAGGAAUCACCUGGACCUUUGUGCACUUUUCCUACCCCGUCCCUGCAGGAAGAGGCAGGAUAGAAAACAAAGGGCCCAAUUCUCUGAUCCCUCCCAUGGCCCAAGAGGAACAGAGUAGCACUUACUUGUGACUUUCUACCUUGUCUGUGGGUUGCCUGGUGGACUGCUCUCUCUAUCACAUGACUCAGAACUCAGACAGGGACAAGUUCAGGGCUCAGGUCUCAAGUGAGGGAACUAUGGACAGCUGUGGUGGGAGCCACAGUGUGUGACCAUUGCAUGAAGGAAAAGGGAUCAGGAAACACACAGCACACCAAGGCCCUAAAGAAGCUUCCAUGGAACCCUCAGGUAACCAGCUCAUUUCUAAACUGCCAUGGAUUCUGGGGAACCUGGGAGGGGAAGCACAUACUCAGGUACCUGUAUGCCCAGGAAAGAUCAAAGCCUUUACCCAGGCAGACACCAAGCCUUAGAUAAUCAGUGAAGGGGUUCCACAUCAGAAUUAAAAGACUGGGGCAAAUGUGGAAUGUUUAAUUCAAAGUCUGCAGUUCAACAGAAGAUGGCAAGGCACACAAAGGAGCAGGGAAAUGUGACCAAUUCAAAGGAACAAAAAUCUUUAGAAACCACCCCAGCAGAAAAAGACAUCAGAGUGACAGGAUAUCACAUUUUAAUGUCUGCCUUACAGAGGCAGCUUGGAGGCUGAGGAUGCCACUGUCCAUCACUAUUGCCAUGGCAUGGGGAAGACUGUGUGCCUGUAAAUUAGCAUCCUGGUGGCCACAGAGAUUGUGCUGAUGCUGGUUUUAGAACUGUACUGUCUAACGUGGAGCAACUAGCCACAGUGACUCUAUAAACUCAGAAUCAGUUAAAUUUUAC